rnacentral:rRNA from 1 species
UAAGGAAUAUUGGGCAAUGGACGCAAGUCUGACCCAGCCAUGCCGCGUGCAGGAUGACGGCCCUAUGGGUUGUAAACUGCUUUUGUACGGGAAGAACCCCUUCGAUUCUUCGGAGGCUGACGGUACUGUACGAAUAAGCAUCAGCUAACUCCGUGCCAGCAGCCGCGGUAAUACGGAGGAUGCAAGCGUUAUCCGGAUUUAUUGGGUUUAAAGGGAGCGCAGGCGGAAUGGUAAGUCAGUGGUGAAAU